rnacentral:lncRNA from 1 species
AAAUAGUACAGGUGAAUAUAUUGGAGAAACCCCACAGGAAGUACCUAAAGUUAUUCUGUUGACUAAAUUAUGGAACAACUUGCCUCUCUACACUGUACUGAGGAGGUCAUCUACCAGGGAAUUUCCUAUGCUGAGUUAAUUGAAAAUGGUUAAGAUCUUACUGGCGUAUGUUCUUUGGGUUUUAGUUGUCUCAACUCGAAUUUUUCAAUGAGACAAUCUUGAAGAUAUGAGAUUUUAAAAAUCACAGUAAUUUUUGUUGAGUCAAAAUUCAUUUUGUGAACUUUUAUUUCAAUUUCUUUGUCAAUUGAGAAUAUCCAUAAGACACAGUUCUUCUCUUCCUUCAGUCACUGUGCCCCUCCUGAGAAUGCCUUGUAAGUUGUUCAAUUUCAGGAGCUACGUGGAAGGCAAUUGACUGUCAGUUAAAAAUUUGAAUGUAGGUGUAUGACCUUGACCUGGGUCUUGUGCGCUUGUUUGGUGUGAUACUUUUCACAGAGAAAAGUACAUUUGCAAAAUCUUAACGGAUUAAAUGACUCAGUGGAGUGCAAAUAAGAACCUUCAAUCUACAGUUCACUGAAAACAAAAACUGGAUGGAAUAGAGUGCAUUUUUGCUUUGACAGGAUAUGAUCUAAGAUUCAUUCAUUCAUUGAUUACUUUCUAUGUAGCAAGAAAUGUUUUCUGACUCACUCAUGUUAGGCGGUGUCUUCAUAUUCUUGCUGAUGAGACAGCUGCCUCAGCUA